rnacentral:rRNA from 1 species
UACGAAGGGGGGCUAGCGUUGUUCGGAAUUACUGGGCGUAAAGCGCGCGCAGGCGGUCUUCCAAGUCAGUGGUGAAAGCCUGGAGCUCAACUCCAGAACUGCCAUUGAAACUGUUAGACUUGAGUACGAGAGAGGUGAGUGGAAUUCCCAGUGUAGAGGUGAAAUUCGUAGAUAUUGGGAAGAACACCAGUGGCGAAGGCGGCUCACUGGCCCGAUACUGACGCUGAGGCACGGAAAGCGUGGGGGA